CAGCUUCACCACUUUGCGACGCAGUUUAUAGUUGACUUCGUCGUAUUCAGCAGACAUGAAAUUCUUUAUCUUCUUCGCUUUGUUGCUGGCCAUUUUGGGCACCACUUUGGGUGAUGUAGCACAUAUUUUAGGUAACAACCGCCCAACACCCCAAAAACAACAACCAAGCCCAAGCCACGGCGCCCAACCCCAAACAGCCGGACACCACAAGGAUGCCCACCAUGGCCACUAGAUAUACCUCAACACUGAAUGUAUGCGAUUGGAGUAUUUCUAAGCAAAGUACUUGGUUUGAAUAAAUAAAAUAUUGUAUAA